rnacentral:rRNA from 1 species
CGGCAAUGGAUCUCUUGGUUCUCCUAUCGAUGAAGAACGCAGCGAAUUGCGAUAAGUAAUGUGAAUUGCAGAAGUCAGUGAAUCAUCGAAUCUUUGAACGCAUCUUGCGCCCUUUGGUAUUCCUUAGGGCAUGCCUGUUUGAGUGUCACGAAUACUAU